rfam:Brachypodium distachyon strain Bd21 chromosome 1, whole genome shotgun sequence.
CUAUUACUCCCUCAGUCCCAUAUUAAGUGUCGCAACUUUGUCUAGAUACGCCUGUACCUGCACACUAAAAUGCGACUAGAUACAUGCGUAUCUAGACAAAGUUGCGACACUUAAUAUGGGACGGAGGGAGUAAAAU